GACGAACGCUGGCGGCGUGCUUAACACAUGCAAGUCGAACGGUAAGGCCUUUCGGGGUACACGAGUGGCGAACGGGUGAGUAACACGUGGGUGAUCUGCCCUGCACUUCGGGAUAAGCCCGGGAAACUGGGUCUAAUACCGGAUAGGACUGCGCGGUGCAUGCCGUGUGGUGGAAAGAUUUAUCGGUGCAGGAUGGGCCCGCGGCCUAUCAGCUUGUUGGUGGGGUAAUAGCCUACCAAGGCGACGACGGGUAGCCGGCCUGAGAGGGCGACCGGCCACACUGGGACUGAGACACGGCCCAGACUCCUACGGGAGGCAGCAGUGGGGAAUAUUGCACAAUGGGCGCAAGCCUGAUGCAGCGACGCCGCGUGAGGGAUGACGGCCUUCGGGUUGUAAACCUCUUUCAGCAGGGACGAAGCGUGAGUGACGGUACCUGCAGAAGAAGCACCGGCCAACUACGUG
rnacentral:rRNA from 1 species